rnacentral:lncRNA from 1 species
CGAGCAGGAAGGUGUGCGGGAAUUUCUGCCCCCGCGACCACAGAAGCGCGCCAGGUUCCAGCUCAUGGCAGUGAGAAGAUGGAGAGCAAGCGGGCGAAACGGUCUGGCAAAGUGCCAGCAAAGUAUACCGACGAUGUAUAUGGUGUGUCCACCACUGCAGUGAAGAAAGCAGUUGAGCAAGUGACAGAACCUACUGCAAAUGCUGAAAAAGUGAAGAAACAUCAUUCCUUUACCACUCAACCUGCACAACAGCUGAAGAAAGAUCAAACUGCUCUUAAACUAAAGUUUGAUGAUCAACAUCAGUCAUCUGCAGGACCUCAGCAGUCAACCCUUCGGAUGUCUGCUACAUCUCAGCAUUCUCCAACCUCUACAGACUCAUCAAAGUCUUCAGAUUCAGAGGAUUCAGAGGCCUCGCUCAAAAAGAAGAAGCAAAAGACAAAAUCAAAGACUGAUUAUUUCAGCCGAGUGUGAUGGCGCAGUUUCCUAUGCGCUCUUAAAAUAGGAAUGAACAGAAGUCAGCGCGCACCUGUCUCUUAAAGGUAAUGACUACAGACACACUGAUUGGUUUAUUUCAUGUUACGCCCAAAACACACCCAUGAAUAAUUAAGGAAUUAAAACACACCGUUUGCGCUGUUGGAGCUGCGCAAGCCGUAUUUUUCGC